rnacentral:sRNA from 1 species
CGUGAAGGAUAAUGUUGCGUCAGCAACGGCCCGUAGGGCAAGGCGAAGCCGAGUCAUCCUGCACGACCCACCA